rnacentral:tRNA from 2 species
GGAGAGGUGGCCGAGUGGUUUAAGGCGCUAGUCUUGAAAACUAGUGAUUCCGCAAGGAACCGUGGGUUCGAAUCCCACCUUCUCCGCCA